GGGGUUGUAGCUGAGUGGUAAAGCACUUGCCUAGCAUGUAUUGAGGCACUAGGUUUGAUCCCCAGCACCACA
rnacentral:tRNA from 1 species